AAGCUCCAGAGUUUUAAAGGUUUGAUUUGGGUAAGGUUACAUCUUUCUCUACCUAUUACUGGCCUAACUUAGGGCCCCAAACCCCUCCAAAGUUUCACUCUUGACCAUGAAAAGGCAUUCUUAUUCCAGCAAAUGUGUUCAUAUGGGGAGUUAUACCAGUAUAAUUGUAGUGGUAGGGAUAUGCCAGUGAAUUUCCCUGUGUAGAUAAGCCCAAAGAAGUCAGUAGCCCUAAGCAGGAGAGGAGAUAGUGAAAUUGUGAAUUAAUUUUUAACUUGCAGCUUUUCUGUGCCUUUAUAAGAAGCAGCCUUCAAAGGGAACACGUGCACUGGUAAAGCACAACACAACACACAGGGAAGCAGACGACCAUCAUGGUGUGCAUGCUCAAAAAAGUUCCUCCUCUUCCAUUUUGAAGGCACGAACCCUGACUGUCCAAGGGAUGGACCCCAACUGUCCCAUGCAACGAACCCUGACUCCGCAAUGAAUCCAGGACAGAACCAAUGAAAACUGGAAACGCUGGACCACAGGAACAGUGGAACAGGAUGCGACGAUCACCAGGUAAGUGGUUUGUCUCCUUUCUUCUG
rnacentral:lncRNA from 1 species